rnacentral:rRNA from 1 species
AUACGGGGUAGGGCAAGCGUUGUCCGGAUUUACUGGGUGUAAAGGGUGCUCAGGCGGGUUUGUAAGUCAGUGGUGAAAUCCCGGGGCUUAACUCCGGAACUGCCAUAGAAACUGCAAGCCUAGAGUACGGAAGAGGUUGAUGGAAUAUCUGGUGUAGCAGUGAAAUGCGUAGAUAUCAGAUAGAACACCAAUGGCGAAGGCAGUCAACUGGUCCGUUACUGACGCUAAAGCACGAAAGUGUGGGGAGC